GAUGAACGCUAGCGGCAGGCCUAACACAUGCAAGUCGAGGGAGAAGCCCUUUCGGGGGCAGAAACCGGCGCACGGGUGCGUAACGCGUAUGCAACCUACCUUUCACAGGGGGAUAGCCCGAAGAAAUUUGGAUUAAUACCCCAUAAUAUUAUUGGAUGGCAUCGUUUGAUAAUUAAAACUGCGGUGGUGAAAGAUGGGCAUGCGUCCUAUUAGCUAGUUGGAGUGGUAACGGCACCCCAAGGCUACGAUAGGUAGGGGUCCUGAGAGGGAGAUCCCCCACACUGGUACUGAGACAGGGACCAGACUCCUACGGGGGGCAGCAGUGAGGAAUAUUGGUCAAUGGUCGGAAGACUGAACCAGCCAUGCCGCGUGCAGGAAGAAUGCCUUAUGGGUUGUAAACUGCUUUUAUAUGGGAAGAAUAAGGCGUACGUGUACGUUGAUGACGGUACCAUAUGAAUAAGCAUCGGCUAACUCCGUGCCAGCAGCCGCGGUAAUACGGAGGAUGCGAGCGUUAUUCGGAAUCAUUGGGUUUAAAGGGUCUGUAGGCGGGCUAUUAAGUCAGGGGUGAAAGGUUUCAGCUUAACUGAGAAAUUGCCUUUGAUACUGGUAGUCUUGAAUAUCUGUGAAGUUCUUGGAAUGUGUAGUGUAGCGGUGAAAUGCUUAGAUAUUACACAGAACACCGAUUGCGAAGGCAGGGGACUAACAGACAAUUGACGCUGAGAGACGAAAGCGUGGGGAGCGAACAGG
rnacentral:rRNA from 1 species